GAUCCUGGCUCAGGAUGAACGCUGGCGGCGUGCCUAAUACAUGCAAGUCGAACGCUUCACAUAUGUGAAGAGUGGCGAACGGGUGAGUAAUACAUAAGUAACCUGGCCUUUACAGGGGGAUAACUGUUGGAAACGAUAGCUAAGACCGCAUAGGUAUCAUAACCGCAUGGAGAUGAUAUGAAAUAUGCUACGGCAUAGGUAGAGGAUGGACUUAUGGCGCAUUAG
rnacentral:rRNA from 1 species